UUAGUCUGCUUUUCAGCAGCUCCCGGGCUGCGACAGCCAAUUUUGCGCUCGGUUAAACUCUUAUGACUUACAUGCUUACGUUAUCUUAAAGUAGCAGCCGUGACCUUUCCGGACUAUUACGCCAAUCCCGAUCGGUUCAUCACGGGGAAAAUUUCAGCGGAGCAGUUUAUCAUGGAAAGUUUCCUGGCGCGGCGCAGUUGAAUCGCUACUGCAACCAUCGCUACAUGGACUGAGCUCGGGAAAAGGGAUUUCUUCUCGCAGAAUCGGGAUGACGGCAGGACGCAAGGGAUGAACUGAAUUCAGGGAGCCAAUUACGUGGCCAACGAGCGUUUUACCGAACUUCAUGCUUGCGUGAUACGCAACAGUGCUGUUCUGGUGUUGUUUUUUGGCAGUAAAGUCACCAUAUCAUUGUUGUUCAAACGCCCUUUUUGUUGAUAGAGCGCCGUCAUCGCGAUUCUGCGAGAAGAAAUCACGUCUUCCUGAACCUCUAUUUUUUGUUUAAUUACUCGCAAAGUUGCUAUACGUAUUUGUCUAACUGUUUUAUAUGCGCGAAUAAAUUUGUAAAAACAAUAAACAUUCCCGCCAAUCCGAUGAAUACGGUGCUGUACAGAUACAGUUGCGCUAUGACAAGAAAUCGAAACAAAAACACCUCCUUCGUGUUGA